UCAUGUGAGAAGAUGCAACGCCGUGUGAUCGAUGUGAGGUUCCUGAAUCUGAUUUGUCCUCCUGUGACCGACGUUUGUGAUAGCAGCCAGAGCCGCAGAGAGAAGAGCUGUGUGGAGCUCAAGGUCAGGAUAAUUGUCUCCAUUCUGACCUCCAGCCUCUGGGGCUAAGAGCAGCCUGAUACCACUAGUUGAUCUCUGCACCGGCACAUCAAAGAGCCGACUACAAAGCAAUAUGACUCGCACUAGGAGAGGUCUGCAUCUCCGGGAGGUUUUCGGGAAACUGAGUGAAGAGGUCAAAACCUACCUUGUACCCAGAGGUUUACAUUCUGACUGCGGAGCCCGAUGUCAUUCAUCACUUCACAGCGAUACACGCCAGAGUCAUUGCGCUCUAGUGGACGAGUGAAAGCGAAGCUCCGUCUCCCAGAAAACCUCAGCGGCGGGUCGGCCGCGCUCCGCGAUGCAGGUGGCCACCAGUGACUCGUUGCCUCCGUCCAGCAGAGCUGUGGGGCCGGCGGACACGUACACCUUUGGCUCCACUGUGGAUAGAGGGAGAGGAGGAAGAGGAGAAGGAGGGGAUGGUGGAAUGGAGAAAGUAUUACAAAAUGAAUAUGGAUUUUAUUGUAUAUGAAUAAAUAAUGUCCAUCAUGUUGUAUAUGGGCAGAAGGAA